rnacentral:rRNA from 1 species
CUUGUACUGUGAAACUGCGAAUGGCUCAUUAAAUCAGUUAUCGUUUAUUUGAUAGUACCUUACUACAUGGAUACCUGUGGUAAUUCUAGAGCUAAUACAUGCUAAAAACCCCGACUUCAGGAAGGGGUGUAUUUAUUAGAUAAAAAACCAACGCCCUUCGGGGCUCCUUGGUGAAUCAUAAUAACUUAACGAAUCGCAUGGCCUUGCGCCGGCGAUGGUUCAUUCAAAUUUCUGCCCUAUCAACUUUCGAUGGUAGGAUAGUGGCCUACCAUGGUGGCAACGGGUAACGGGGAAUUAGGGUUCGAUUCCGGAGAGGGAGCCUGAGAAACGGCUACCACAUCCAAGGAAGGCAGCAGGCGCGCAAAUUACCCAAUCCCGAUACGGGGAGGUAGUGACAAUAAAUACUGAUACGGGGCUCUUUUGGGUCUCGUAAUUGGAAUGAGAACAAUUUAAAUCCCUUAACGAGGAACAAUUGGAGGGCAAGUCUGGUGCCAGCAGCCGCGGUAAUUCCAGCUCCAAUAGCGUAUAUUAAAGUUGUUGCAGUUAAAAAGCUCGUAGUUGAACCUUGGGUCUGGCUGGCCGGUCCGCCUCACCGCGAGUACUGGUCCGGCUGGACCUUUCCUUCUGGGGAACCUCAUGGCCUUCACUGGCUGUGGGGGGAACCAGGACUUUUACUGUGAAAAAAUUAGAGUGUUCAAAGCAGGCCUUUGCUCGAAUACAUUAGCAUGGAAUAAUAGAAUAGGACGUGUGGUUCUAUUUUGUUGGUUUCUAGGACCGCCGUAAUGAUUAAUAGGGAUAGUCGGGGGCGUCAGUAUUCAGCUGUCAGAGGUGAAAUUCUUGGAUUUGCUGAAGACUAACUACUGCGAAAGCAUUCGCCAAGGAUGUUUUCAUUAAUCAGGGAACGAAAGUUAGGGGAUCGAAGACGAUCAGAUACCGUCGUAGUCUUAACCAUAAACUAUGCCGACUAGGGAUCGGACGGGAUUCUAUAAUGACCCGUUCGGCACCUUACGAGAAAUCAAAGUUUUU